AGAGAAAGGAAGCAAAGGUGUUAAAAGGGAGAGGGAGGAGAGGCCAAAUGAUUCUCUGCGUUUAUCAAGGAGCUAUUUUGUCAUGUGAAAGGAUGGUAACCCGUGAUCUUAAUCAGGCCUUCUUGGAUCUUGGCUAAUCCGUGAUCUGUUAUAGAUAAAAUUAAUUAUUUGUCAUGUGGGACCUUCACCAUUUGUAUUUGCAAGUAGGUAGAAUAUCCUCAUGUGAUGUGUUUUUUUUUUUUGUCUUUGUUGGGAUAUAUUUGUGUUAUGGUGUGUCAGAAAGAUUGAGUGACCGGAGAAAUCGGUCAAUCUAA